rnacentral:rRNA from 1 species
AGUGGCGACCGGGUGAGUAACACGUGACUAACCUACCUUCAAGUGGGGGAUAACCUCGGGAAACCGGGGCUAAUACCGCAUAACAUCUUUAUUUUUCAAAAAGUGAAGAUCAAAGCAGCAAUGCGCUGGAAGAGGGGGUCGCGGCUGAUUAGCUAGUUGGCGGGGUAAUGGCCCACCAAGGCUUUGAUCGGUAGCCGGCCUGAGAGGGCGCACGGCCACACUGGAACUGAAACACGGUCCAGACUCCUACGGGAGGCAGCAGUGGGGAAUUUUGCGCAAUGGGGGAAACCCUGACGCAGCAACGCCGCGUGGAGGAUGAAGUCCCUUGGGACGUAAACUCCUUUCGACCGGGAAGAUUAUGACGGUACCGGUGGAAGAAGCCCCGGCUAACUUCGUGCCAGCAGCCGCGGUAAUACGAGGGGGGCAAGCGUUGUUCGGAAUUAUUGGGCGUAAAGGGCGCGUAGGCGGUGCGGUAAGUCACCUGUGAAACCUCUGGGCUUAACUCAAAGCCUGCAGGCGA